rnacentral:rRNA from 1 species
UACGUAGGGUGCGAGCGUUGUCCGGAAUUAUUGGGCGUAAAGAGCUCGUAGGCGGUUUGUUGCGUCGGCUGUGAAAUCCCGAGGCUCAACCUCGGGUCUGCAGUCGAUACGAGCAAACUAGAGUGUUGCAGGGGAGACUGGAAUUCCUGGUGUAGCGGUGAAAUGCGCAGAUAUCAGGAGGAACACCGGUGGCGAAGGCGGGUCUCUGGGCAACAACUGACGCUGGAGGAGCGAAAGCCGUGGGGAGCGAACAGG